rnacentral:rRNA from 1 species
UGGUGGAGUGAUUUGUCUGCUUAAUUGCGAUAACGAACGAGACCUUAACCUGCUAAAUAGCCCGUACUGCUCUGGCAGUUCGCUGGCUUCUUAGAGGGACUAUCGGCUCAAGCCGAUGGAAGUUUGAGGCAAUAACA